rnacentral:lncRNA from 1 species
UGGGCCACCAGCUGCCAUGGCCAAAAUGUGGAUGAAAGGCCUAUCCUGUUCAUCCAUGCCAUUCUCUGUGCUUCUCUGGUAAGAAAGAGCCUGCCACCUCUGAAGAAACACCAGACAGAGUUGUUGGAGGUGGUAGUGCCUGGGAAGAAAAUUAAUAUGUGGACCUUUGGGAUUCUUCAGAUGACCCCUUGUAUGAUCCUUUCAACUUAGACUACAGGGAAAUCCAGGCCUGAGAUAGGGGCUGACUUUUCACAGACCUGAAGAGCAGGUACUAAUUAGAAUAUUGG